GGUGCUGGGAGAGUGGCUGUCCCGGCUGUGGCCGCUGGGCCUGUGAUGGAUCAUACAGGGACAUCCAGUUUUUCAGCAUC
rnacentral:pre_miRNA from 13 species